rnacentral:tRNA from 1 species
GCCUGGGUGGCUCAGUCAGUUAAGCAUCUGAUUUUGGCUCAGGACGUUAUCUCAUGGUCCAUGAGUUUGAGCCUCAUGUCGGGCU